UAUUGACAUAGAUAAGAGUAGUGGUUUAUUGAUUUCUAUUGUGUUUAUGUUACGUUUAAUAGGCUUUACUAUUAAUAAUUAUUAACUGAGUUUUGCUGAAUGUUUUUAUUCAGUUUCAUUAGUUAUGGAAGAUAAAAUUGAAAUUAAGAUAGAGCUUGAAGAGUAUGACCAAAAUUAUAUAGAGCUAUCCACAUCAGUAGACCUAGAUUUAAAAAAUGAACCAGGGGAAGACUACCAAGCUAUGGAAAUACAAACUGAAAUUAAGAAUGAGGUCCUUGAGAGUGACCAAAAAUAUACAGAGAAUCAGCUAUCCACGUCUCUAAAUCUGGAAAACUUGAAGAAUGAACCAGGGGAAGCCUCAGCAGUGGAAGUAAAAGCUGAAAUUAAGGAAGAGUUUGUUGAAGAUGAUCCAAGAUAUAUUGAAACUCAGUUAUCCACAUCCAUAAUUCUGGAAGAUUUGAAAAAUGAACCAGAAGAUAAUUCAGGUCUGCCUUACAAGAGGAACCGAAUGGAAAUUAUAGAGACGUUACCCCAGGAUCCGUUUAAUAAAAAACAAAUAAGUCUAAACUCCGCAGAAGUAACAAUAAAUAGUUCUAAUUGUUCUAAAGAUGUCAAAUCCAAAAAUAAUUUAAAUGAACUUAUGAAAUGUCAGACUGGAGAAGGACUUUACAAAUGUGAAAUUUGUUUGAAGCAGUUUCGUCAUGCAUCACAUUUGAAAAUUCAUUUGAGAGUUCACACUGGAGAAAAACCUUAUAAGUGUGAAAUUUGUUUUAAGCAGUUUACUUUAACAAGUAAUUUAAAACAACAUUUGAGAAGACACACUGGAGAAAAGCCAUACAAGUGUGAAAUUUGUUUGAAACAGUUUUCUCAACUAGGUUAUAUGAAACAACAUAUGAGAGUGCACACUGGAGAAAAUCUGUACCAGUGUCAAAUUUGUUUUAAGCAGUUUUGUGAGAAAAAUAGUUUAAAACGACAUAUGAUAGUGCAUACUGGAGAGACGCCUUAUAAGUGUGAAAUUUGUUUCAAGUCGUUUACUCGGAAAGGUAAUCUAACUGAACACAUCAAAGUUCACACUGGAGAAAGACCUCACAAGUGUGAAAUUUGUUUUAAGCAAUUUAUUCAAGCCUAUGAUUUGAAAAGACAUUUGAGAGUGCACACUGGAGAAAAGCCUCACAAGUGUGAAAUUUGUUUUAAGCAGUUUAGUGAAACACGAGAUUUGAAAAAGCAUUUAAGGAUACACACUGGAGAGAAGCCGUACAAGUGUGAAAUUUGUUUUAAGCAGUUUUCACAAGUAGCCAAUUUGAAAGCACAUUUGAGAGUGCACACUGGAGAAAAAUCAUACAAAUGUGAAAUUUGUUUUAAGCAGUUUUCUCAGCCAAAUUAUCUAAAACGACAUUUGAUGACACAUCUAAAACGACACAGACGCUGCGGGGAAAGACCUCACAAGUGUGAAAUUUGUUUUAAGACGUUUAGUGAAGCAGGCAAUUUGAAAACACAUUUGAGAGUGCACACUGUAGAAAAAUCAUACAAGUGUGAAAUUUGUUUUAAUCAGUUUAGCCAAAAAAACACUUUAAAAAUACAUAUGAGAGUACACACCGGAGAAAGGCCAUACAAGUGCGAAGUUUGUUUUAAGCAGUUUACUAGAACAAGUGAUUUGAAAACACAUUUCAGAUUACACACUGGAGAAAAACCUUAUGAGUGUGAAAUUUGUUGUAAGCAGUUUAGUGACAAAAAUAAUUUGAAAAAGCAUUUAAGAAUCCACACUGGAGAGAAGCCGUACAAGUGUGAAAUUUGUUUUAAGCCGUUUAGUGAAGCAGGUUCUUUAAAAACACAUUUGAGAGUGCACACUGGAGAAAAACCUUACAAGUGUGAAAUUUGUUUUAAGCAAUUUAAUCAAGCAAUUAAUUUGAAAACACAUUUGAGGGUGCACACUUAAAGAGGUGACACACACGUGAGCAAGCACGCGAACUUAUGGCUCAACGACUUUUUCGCACGUAUGUCACCGCAAAUACGCGUACUUUAAGUCCGCCGAGUAAGUACGCCGUCGAUCCAACAAGUUUGAAAUUUUACUUCUUGCCUGUACGUGUAUCACUGCGUCUAGCCGCGAGCCGUUAUUUUACUGCGUUUAAGUUACACCUACACACACCCAAACUUAUAUGGAAUCACCAUGUAUUUCAAAGUAACAUUUAUUUCUUUUGAAAAAACUUGUUAUUGUUGCGAAGAUUAAAGGUUUUUAUUUAAAAUAAACAAAUAUAUAAGACAAUCGGAUAGUACAGCCCGGUAAGGUAUAGAUUAUUUGCUUGACUUGCAAGUUGAACGAAAAUAAAUAAACUAACUUUUGCGUCCAAAAACGAAAAUAUGCCUCGUGUGGGGUUAUAUAAAUUACAACGAGGAAAGAUUAUUGGUCUUGUGGAGAAAGUAAUGCUCAGAUUGACGUAGCUGCAGAGCUAGGCGUAAUACAUGUUCUGUCCAAAACAUAUGCUAGGUAACAGGAACUAGGAAGGCUCAAAAAUAAAGCAAGGGAAAGUCACCAAAAGUAAUAACGGCUCUCCACGAUCGUUUAAUUGUCCAAUCAGCUGGAAAAUACCCAACCAUUUCUCACCUGCAUCUCGAAAGGCAGCUUUUGGAAGCUACAGCUGUAACUGUUUCAGUUGAAACGAUAAGAACAAGAGUUCGUACCAAGGAGUAUACAGCAGGAGACAGUUAUGGGUUCCCGAGUUAUCCAGGCAGCACAAGAUUGAUCGCCUAAAUUGGUGUCUUCAUCACCAAAACUGGAACAUUGGUAAUUGACAAAAUGUGCUAUUUUCAAAAACAGUCUGAAUUUAAUCUAAUCAGAUGGAAAAUCAGAUGAGCCAUGAAAUCGUAAACUUAGAGGUCGAGGAAGACAAGCAAGAAAAGAAUGUCAGAUCUGUUCACAAAUAUAGAUUCAGAUAGCCGAAUAAGAGCCAGAAAUCGACAAUCAAGCGCCUUAGAGCCACAGAUCCAGAUAGCCGAAUAAGAGCCAGAGAUCGACAAUCAAGCGCCCUAGAGCCACAGAUCCAGAUAGCCGAAUAAGAGCCAGAGAUCGACAAUCAAGCGCCCUAGAGCCACAGAUCCAGAUAGCCGAAUAAGAGCCAGAGAUCGACAAUGAAGCGCCUUAGAGCCACCACCACAGAUCCAGAUAGACGAAGAAGAGCCAGAGGUCGACAAUCAAGCGCCAUAGAGCCACCACACAGCCAGGACAAGCCGCAGAGACUCCAAACUACAGGACUGCUGACGGAGCACAGCAGAACCAGGAGAGCCGCAACGUCCAGAAUCAGAAGGAAAACCGUCUGUCUUACAAGAGGAACCGAAUGGAAAUUAUAGAGACGUUACCCGACGAUUCGUUUAAUAAAAAACAAAUAAGUCUAAACUCCGAAGAAGUAACAAUAAGCAAUUUUAAUUGUUCUAAAGAUGUUAAAUCCAAAAAUAAUUUAAAUGAACUUAU
rnacentral:misc_RNA from 1 species